UACAGAGGUCUCGAGCGUUAGGCGGAAUCACUGGGCUUAAAGCGUGUGUAGGCGGAUCGUUAAGUACCUUGUGAAAUCCCACGGCUCAACCGUGGAACUGCUUGGUAUACUGCCUGUCUUGAGGCACUCAGGGGCGAGCGGAACAGAUGGUGGAGCGGUGAAAUGCGUAGAUAUCAUCUGGAACGCCAAUGGUGAAGACAGCUCGCUGGGGGUGUACUGACACUGAGACACGAAAGCCAGGGAGCAAACCGGG
rnacentral:rRNA from 1 species